rnacentral:lncRNA from 10 species
GCCAACAUCAUGAAACCCCAUCUCUACUAAAAAUAUGAAAAUUAGCUGGGUAUGGUGGCGGGCAUCAGGAGAAUCGCUCGAACCCAGGAGGUAGAGGUUGCAGUUGAGCCAAGAUCGUGCCACUGCACUCCAGCUUGGGUACUCCGUCUCAAAAAAACAAAAACAAAAAAUCAAAAAACAAACAAAAACACCUAAAGUGUAAUCAUUACAAUAAGAAACCUCAUGCUGAGUCAGAUAGAAGCAGUGCUGGUCAAUGGAGGCUAAGGCAGGAGCCUGCUCACCCUCCCCUGC